rnacentral:rRNA from 1 species
GCAGUCUGCAACUCGACUGCAUGAAGUCGGAAUCGCUAGUAAUCGCGGAUCAGCAUGCCGCGGUGAAUACGUUCCCGGGUCUUGUACACACCGCCCGUCAAACAAUGGGAGUGGUGUUUACCAGAAGUCGUUAGUCUAACCGCAAGGAGGGCGGCGACCACGGUGAGCACCGUGACUAAUGUUAAGUCGUAACAAGGUAAC